AAGACUAUGCUUUCAGGGAUCAUUUCUAUAGUUUCUGACUUGGAAGUUUGAUUUGAAAGUGUAACGUCUUUCUAACCACGAUGACGAGUUAAGAUGCUUUCUUCUGAGCGUGAAUCGGGUGGUGAGCGACGAGCGAGAUUGUCUGCUCUCUGUCAUUGAUGAACGUUCCUGCUGUGCUUUGCAGUCUGGAAGAAGAAAGCAUGUUCAGAGUGGUU
ensembl:snoRNA